UACGUAGGGCGCAAGCGUUAUCCGGAAUUAUUGGGCGUAAAGAGCUCGUAGGCGGUUUGUCGCGUCUGCCGUGAAAGUCCGGGGCUCAACUCCGGAUCUGCGGUGGGUACGGGCAGACUAGAGUGAUGUAGGGGAGACUGGAAUUCCUGGUGUAGCGGUGAAAUGCGCAGAUAUCAGGAGGAACACCGAUGGCGAAGGCAGGUCUCUGGGCAUUAACUGACGCUCAUGCACGAAAGCGUGGGGAGCAAACAGG
rnacentral:rRNA from 1 species